rnacentral:misc_RNA from 1 species
GAUGAAGAACGCAGCGAAAUGCGAUAAGUAAUGCGAAUUGCAGAAUUCAGUGAAUCAUCGAAUCUUUGAACGCACAUUGUGCCCGCCAGUAUUCUGGCGGGCAUGCCUGUCUGAGCGUCGUUUCGACCCUCGCGCCCGGCUUCUGUCGGGGGCGGUGUUGGGGAUCGGCCACACCCUUCAGUGGGAGGCCGGCCCCUAAAUUCAGUGGCGACCACGCUGUAGCCUCCCCUGCGUAGUACUAAAACCACCUCGCAGGCGGAGAGCGGUGCGGCCCGCCGUAAAACCCCCCAACUUUUACAAGGUCGACCUCAGAUCAGGUAGGAAUACCCGCUGAACUUAAGCAUAUCAAUAAGCGGAGGA